UACAGAGGUCUCAAGCGUUGUUCGGAUUCAUUGGGCGUAAAGGGUGCGUAGGCGGCUUAGCAAGUCGGAAGUGAAAUCCCUCGGCUCAACCAAGGAAGUGCUUUCGAAACUGCUGAGCUUGAGUACUUAAGAGGAUCGCGGAAUUCCCGGUGUAGAGGUGAAAUUCGUAGAUAUCGGGAGGAACACCAGUGGCGAAGGCGGCGAUCUGGGAAGAUACUGACGCUGAGGUGCGAAAGCGUGGGGAGCAAACAGG
rnacentral:rRNA from 1 species